rnacentral:tRNA from 1 species
AGAGCUAUAGCUCAAUGGUAGAGCGUCACUUUAACACAGUGAAGGUUACUGGUUCGAUUCCAGUUAGUUCUU